UACGUAGGGUGCGAGCGUUGUCCGGAUUUAUUGGGCGUAAAGGGCUCGUAGGCGGCGUGUCGCGUCGGGAGUGAAAGACCGGGGCUUAACCCCGGUUCUGCUUCCGGUACGGGCAUGCUGGAGUGUGGCAGGGGAGACUGGAAUUCCCGGUGUAGCGGUGAAAUGCGCAGAUAUCGGGAAGAACACCCGUGGCGAAGGCGGCUCUCUGGGACGGUACUGACGCUGAGACGCGAAAGCGUGGGGAGCGAACAGG
rnacentral:rRNA from 1 species